rnacentral:piRNA from 1 species
UCAGACAUAUGGGUGCUUCUUAUUCUCAGU